GGGAGCUAGUGUGCUUUGAAAUAUUAAUAUGUUAUUAUUUUUUUAAACCUAGUUCACUUUUUUAAAUGUAGUAGCUCUAUGGAGAUAUAACUCACAUACCAGCAAUUCACCCAUUUAGAGUAUAAAAUUCAGUGGUUUUUAGUGAAUUCAUAGAGUUGUGCAACCAUUACCACAAUCAAUUUCAGAACAUUUUCAUCAGCCCCAAAGGAAACCGUUACCCAUUUGCAUUUUCCCCUCCUCCUUUGCUGUGCUCUUGACUCCUUUUCCAUUUUUACUUCUCUGACUCCAUCUCGUCUUACUCUCUUUUCCUGACCCUCCUCUCCCUGCUUGCUUUUCUUCUUUGUUUCUCUUUCUUUCCCUUGCAAAGGGCGGAUGCAAGUCUUCCUCUGGCUAUUGUUAAUUUCCAAGGAAGGAAAGGAAGGAGGAAGAAAGAGUGUGUGUGUGGUGGUGGGAGGGGGAGUGGAAGGAAGAAAGAAGGAGCCAUUAACCUGAAAGUCUGAGAGCACCUGGAGGUGAAAAUGAGCAAAUACGGAAAUUAGAAAAUGGGAAUGCAUCUUCCCAGCACCGUCGUCUUCUCCUGCUGACACGUCAUUCCAGCGCCCUUCCUCUGAAGUUCUAUGCCAGAGCUCACACCGCAUUCAUCCCACUCCUUUCCUUUUAUGAUUCUCCACAGUGGUACCCACAGACAGACUCGUGAUGCAGUGCUUCUGGCUGCCCGUAUUCAGACGUGAACUUGAAAAAGGAGGCAGCUCUUCGUGAUCAUCUGAGACAACAAACACAGGCAAAUCUGCAAUUAGUCUUCACAUUCAAACUCCAAAGACCUCUGUGCUUUGAACUUCAGUGGAAAACGUGGAAAGCUGAACAGUCAGUCCAGGUUAACUCGCAUCACUCUGGAUCAUUACCCAGAACCGUGUUGACUGUGGGGGAGAAUGCUGUGUUCCGGAAAGAGCAACAUGUGGACAAAACUUUAAUGGACCCUGACAUUAAAUGCUGAGGCUCUUUAAUAAAGUACACACAUAUUUUAUCCCA
rnacentral:lncRNA from 1 species